GUAAAUAAACUCAUUUAAAUAAAUAAAACAGCAGGUCCCCUAGGAAUAUCUUGGUAACACCGUCAGCCCACUCCGAUUUACUAAACGGGCUUGGGGAAUAAAACUCCACUUUUGGGGUCAGGCCCUUCGCUAACUCAGACCAGCCAGACCAGCCUUUUCCCGGAAUCCUGAGAGCAACGCAGGCCAAGGCAAAGUCCCAAAAGGACCAGUGGGGACAUACCGACCAGCUCGCACCAGGGCACGGUCGCCGGCUCCUGACGGCGGGGCCCUCGGUCCGCAAGGUGAAUGAACCAGGGCUGAAAAGAAACAGGCCCUCCUCGCACCCGGGCCUCCGCGCACUCUCGGGGAAGCGAACUACCGUCGGCCGCGGCCGGACGCCGCCUCCUUCUACUCCCUUGAAGGCAAAACAAGCUGCCACCCCGCUGCGACCCCAGAACGGCUUCCGGGUACUCACCGAGGGGAGGGGCGGGCCUGGCCGCUGUCCUGUCACCUACACACUCGCGCUCGGGGCUACCACAGCCUCUCCCGGGCCGCUGUAGACAGCCCCGAGGCCGGCGCUUCUCGGUGGCACUUCCGGCGACGGAGUGCAGGGUGCCGAAUGAGGGCCCCCCCUCCUCCGCCCCGGCAUGAGGGUCCCGGAUGUGGGUGAGAGCCCCGGAUGAGGGUCCCGGAUGUGAGUGAGGGCCCCGGAUGUGAGUGACGGCCCCGGAUAAGGAACUCGGAGGAGGAGCCGGGCCCGCGCGUCCAUGAUUCGAAGGCUCGUUUUCGCAGCUUUUCCACGUCUUUUUCCGGUCCCACCGCCCUCCAUGCUAACUCACUGGGCGUCUCUAGCCGUUAUACCAACAAUGACUGCGACCAAUGUUGGGAAAGCGCCCCCGGGGCCCCUCCCUGACGCCAGCCCAUCCUUGAGACUUCCUGCAAGGAGGCGGCCCGACCCAGUGGGUGCGUGUCGUGGGGUGAGGAGGAAUGGCCGACCUAAUGGUCCCGCUUCCGUGAGUAGCACAGGGGUGCCUGCUCAGAGUGUAGUACAACGCUGACAAGUAGAAGGCGAGGAUUGCGGGGCCUGGGUGAGAUGGGACCCACUAAGUUGUGGGAUCGAAAUCUCAGUAGGUCCUUGGGGAAAGCGGGGACGGGAGGGGAGAUGAGCAGAUUGGAAUGGAACCGAGAGAGACGGAGGAAAGUGACAGUUGCGUCCCUGGUGGGAAGACUAAAAUCUAUGCAGAAACAGGGAUAGGCAAAAGCAUGGUGCACGAGCGGGACAGGCAGAGCGCCGGGACAGAAACCCUUAGGACAUUCUGACACCUUGCUGAACCUGGAUCCUUACAGAAUAUGUCUUGUAGGUGAAGCUAGAUCUGCAAGGCCUAGGCAAGCCUCUUAGAGAAUCAGAAAAGUGAUUUGGAAGGAACUUCAGCUAUUACUACUUUGUUUAAGCAAAUCAAAUGCUGUUCUUUAAUGUUACUUGACGUUUCAAAUUAAACACAAGAAAACUGAA